UGUAAAUACUCCUUUGUGAGUGAUUUUAGAUAGGCAUAGAGAAAAAUCUUUAGCGAGUCAAUUUCUCUAUGCUUUUAUUAUACA
rnacentral:antisense_RNA from 16 species